GGAAACAGGUGCUAAUACCGUAUAACACUAUUUUCCGCAUGGAAGAAAGUUGAAAGGCGCUUUUGCGCCACUGAUGGAUGGACCCGCGGUGCAUUAGCUAGUCGGUGAGGUAACGGCUCACCAAGGCCACGAUGCAUAGCCGACCUGAGAGGGUGAUCGGCCACACUGGGACUGAGACACGGCCCAGACUCCUACGGGAGGCAGCAGUAGGGAAUCUUCGGCAAUGGACGAAAGUCUGACCGAGCAACGCCGCGUGAGUGAAGAAGGUUUUCGGAUCGUAAAACUCUGUUGUUAGAGAAGAACAAGGAUGAGAGUAAAACGUUCAUCCCUUGACGGUAUCUAACCAGAAAGCCACGGCUAACUACGUGCCAGCAGCCGCGGUAAUACGUAGGUGGCAAGCGUUGUCCGGAUUUAUUGGGCGUAAAGCGAGCGCAGGCGGUUUCUUAAGUCUGAUGUGAAAGCCCCCGGCUCAACCGGGGAGGGUCAUUGGAAACUGGGAGACUUGAGUGCAGAAGAGGAGAGUGGAAUUCCAUGUGUAGCGGUGAAAUGCGUAGAUAUAUGGAGGAACACCAGUGGCGAAGGCGGCUCUCUGGUCUGUAACUGACGCUGAGGCUCGAAAGCGUGGGGAGCGAACAGGAUUAGAUACCCUGGUAGUCCACGCCGUAAACGAU
rnacentral:rRNA from 1 species